rnacentral:rRNA from 1 species
UACGUAGGGGGCAAGCGUUGUCCGGAAUCAUUGGGCGUAAAGCGCGUGUAGGCGGCCCGGUAAGUCCGCUGUGAAAGUCCAGGGCUCAACCCUGGGAUGCCGGUGGAUACUGUCGGGCUCGAGUCCGGAAGAGGCGAGUGGAAUUCCUGGUGUAGCGGUGAAAUGCGCAGAUAUCAGGAGGAACACCAAUGGCGAAGGCAGCUCGCUGGGACGGUACUGACGCUGAGGCGCGAAAGCGUGGGGAGCAAACAGG